ensembl:lncRNA
GAAGCAUUUCCACAGUGUGGAGGGAGGGCAAGAGUCUCCACCUCUGCUUAUUUCACUGGGAAAGCAAAUCUAACAUCAUCAGUUCUAUACCAACAGGCAGCCUCUACCAGAACCUUUGCACGAUGUGCCAGAAGGCCCACAGCCACAUGCUGCAGUUGCAGGCACAGCUCGCAGCUCCUCAGUCCAGAAGCAAUCAGAAGAUCAAAUUUCCCCCAGGUGUCAGAACCAGUCUGGCUUGCGUGUGAAAGACAAGUUAUACACAUCCCAGUCUCGCUCAUUAGAAUUUAGCCUAAGGUGAAGUGAGUUUCAGUUAAGUGGAUGAUCUCUCGUGGAUAAAGACUUCUGGCAUCCAAAGCUGUGUAGCCCUUCUGAACAUCAACUGCUAAUUGCCUUCAGCCUGUAAGAAUC